UACGUAGGGUGCGAGCGUUGUCCGGAAUUACUGGGCGUAAAGAGCUUGUAGGCGGUCUGUCGCGUCUUCUGUGAAAACUCGGGGCUUAACCCCGAGCCUGCAGUGGAUACGGGCAGACUAGAGGUAGGUAGGGGAGAAUGGAAUUCCCGGUGUAGCGGUGAAAUGCGCAGAUAUCGGGAGGAACACCGGUGGCGAAGGCGGUUCUCUGGGCCUUACCUGACGCUGAGGAGCGAAAGCGUGGGGAGCGAACAGG
rnacentral:rRNA from 1 species